UACGGAGGGUGCAAGCGUUGUCCGGAUUUAUUGGGUUUAAAGGGUGCGUAGGUGGCGAGGCAAGUCAGGUGUGAAAUCCCAGGGCUCAACCCUGGAACUGCACUUGAUACUACUUUGCUUGAGUACUGGAGAGGAGAUUGGAAUUUACGGUGUAGCAGUGAAAUGCGUAGAUAUCGUAAGGAAGACCAGUGGCGAAGGCGAAUCUCUGGACAGUUACUGACACUGAGGCACGAAGGCCAGGGGAGCAAACGGG
rnacentral:rRNA from 1 species